UGGGGAAUUUUGGACAAUGGGGGAAACCCUGAUCCAGCCAUCCCGCGUGUGCGAUGAAGGCCUUCGGGUUGUAAAGCACUUUUGGCAGGAAAGAAACGUCGCGGGUUAAUACCCCGCGGAACUGACGGUACCUGCAGAAUAAGCACCGGCUAACUACGUGCCAGCAGCCGCGGUAAUACGUAGGGUGCAAGCGUUAAUCGGAAUUACUGGGCGUAAAGCGUGCGCAGGCGGUUCGGAAAGAAAGAUGUGAAAUCCCAGAGCUUAACUUUGGAACUGCAUUUUUAACUACCGGGCUAGAGUGUGUCAGAGGGAGGUGGAAUUCCGCGUGUAGCAGUGAAAUGCGUAGAUAUGCGGAGGAACACCGAUGGCGAAGGCAGCCUCCUGGGAUAACACUGACGCUCAUGCACGAAAGCGUGGGGAGCAAACAGGAUUAGAUACCCUGGUAGUCCACGCCCUAAACGAUGUCAACUAGCUGUUGGGGUCUUCGGACCUUGGUAGCGCAGCUAACGCGUGAAGUUGACCGCCUGGGGAGUACGGUCGCAAGAUUAAAACUCAAAGGAAUUGACGGGGUCAUAGCUGUUUCC
rnacentral:rRNA from 1 species